GACGAACGCUGGCGGCGUGCCUAAUACAUGCAAGUUGAGCGAUGAAGAUUGGUGCUUGCACCAAUUUGAAGAGCAGCGAACGGGUGAGUAACGCGUGGGGAAUCUGCCUUUGAGCGGGGGACAACAUUUGGAAACGAAUGCUAAUACCGCAUAACAACUUUAAACAUAAGUUUUAAGUUUGAAAGAUGCAAUUGCAUCACUCAAAGAUGAUCCCGCGUUGUAUUAGCUAGUUGGUGAGGUAAAGGCUCACCAAGGCGAUGAUACAUAGCCGACCUGAGAGGGUGAUCUGCCACAUUGGGACUGAGACACGGCCCAAACUCCUACGGGAGGCAGCAGUAGGGAAUCUUCGGCAAUGGACGAAAGUCUGACCGAGCAACGCCGCGUGAGUGAAGAAGGUUGUCGGAUCGUAAAACUCUGUUGGUAGAGAAGAACGUUGGUGAGAGUGGAAAGCUCAUCAAGUGACGGUAACUACCCAGAAAGGGACGGCUAACUACGUG
rnacentral:rRNA from 1 species